CAGUAAAUAUUUUAUAAAAAUAUAAAUUUUGGAGGUUUAAGAUACAGUUAAUUGUUUUACUGA
rnacentral:tRNA from 1 species